rnacentral:lncRNA from 1 species
AAGUUCUGAUGAGUACAUGUGGCAGAGCUUUGAUUAUCCAUCAGACACGUUGUUGCCAGGUAUGAAGCUGGGAUGGAACUUAAGAACUCGUUUUGAGAGAUAUCUAACAGCAUGGAGAAGUGCUGACGAUCCAACCCCUGGAGAAUUCAGUUUCCGGUUCGACAUUAGUACAAUGGCUGAAUUGGUGACUGUCACGGGAUCAAAAAUAGAGGUGCGAAGCGGACCAUGGAAUGGUCAACAGUUUGUUGGCAUUCCAAUGUUUUUUCCCAGGUUAAAAAACAAGGUUUACAUACCAAUGUUGGUGCGUACAGAAGAUGAGGCAUAUUACACAUAUAAGCCUAUCAAUGACAAAGUAAUUCCAAGAUUAUACUUGGACCAAUCAGGAAAAUUGCAGCGCUUUGUAUGGAAUCAGACGAGCUCUGAAUGGCGUAUGUCGUACUCGUGGCCAUUUGAUGCAUGUGACAAUUAUGCACAGUGCGGUGCUAAUAGUAACUGCAGAAUUAGCAAAACACCUAUUUGUGAGUGUUUGGCGGGGUUUAUAUCCAAACCACAAGAUGACUGGGAUUCACCUUACUCUAGGAGAUGUGACAGGAAACCAUCAGACUGCCCGAGUGGAGAAGGGUUUCUAAAGCUUCAAAGAAUGAAACUACCUGAAAAUUAUUGGUCAAACAAAAGUAUGAAUCUCAAGGAAUGUGAGGCAGAGUGCAUUAAGAACUGUUCAUGCCGAGCUUAUGCAAAUUCAGAUAUUACCGGAGGAGGUAGUGGUUGUUUGAUGUGGUUUGGGGACCUGAUUGAUAUCAGAGAGUGUACGGAAGAAUUCAGCUGGGGACAGGAUAUUUUUAUUAGAGUACCAGCUGCAGAUUUAGGUAAGUGUUUUAAUUGAUAUACAGCAGCUUAUUUCAUUUUUAUUACUGUUUUAGAGUUCGCCCACAAGUCCCCUAGCCAGAAUGUGAAUUAAAAUUAGUAUUAGCUGAUUCCUAUACUCAAUAGUUUGUUUUUAGAAGGACCUCAGACUAAGAUUGACCUUGUAUGGCAAAACCAAAAUAGAAAAUGAAUAGAUCAACAACAAACUGAUCUCUUUUCUUGACGUUUUAUGUUCUAGAAUCAACUCAAUAUUCAAGUAAGCACUCGAAUAAAAAGAAAAGAUUAAAGAUCAUAGUGGCAAUGUCAAUCAUCUCCGGUAUGUUGAUCUUGGGCCUUCUACUCGGCAUGGCAUGGAAGAAAGCAAAGAACAAAGGUAACAUAUUCCUCUGACCUUAUUAAUUUUUAUGAAAAAUUUGAUGGUCAUUCAGACUGCUGCUCUUUUAGCAGUGGUGCUUAUAGGGGGCUAUUGAAUUCAUAAAAGCAGGAGACAUGGGUAAAAUUUGCUCUAUUUGCAUUCAAAAAUUUAUAUUUGUUGAUACCAAAAUUUGGUUCGAUAAUAAGAGUUGAGAAAGAGUUGUUUUACUUGGUGAAUAAGCUGUGAGAAAGCUUGAUGUCCUAGAGAUUGUCAUUAUUGAGAGUGAAGAGCCCAGUGCUCGUAAUCCUAUAAAACAAUAACCCAUUAGGGAUUGUUGGGGUACUAUCAACGUACACCCUUCAAUGUUUAAGUCAGAGAUCGAAAAUAGAAAGAUAACAAAUAAAUAAUAUAAGAGAGAAAAGAAAUUAAGAGAAUGGCCUGGAGAAUAUUGUACCCCCUCCUUCAAUAUACCUAUUUCUCUAUAUCCCACCUUUGAGUGAUGCCCUCUUUAUAUAAGAGAGAUAAUUAGAAGUAUAAUUAAAUUAGAAAAACUUUUCUUUUAUCUUGUAGGAUUGGAGUUUAGCAAGAAUUAGGACCUAUAUUUUUUAAUGCUGUUUAGAUUAGGAUAUGUUAUUAGAUGUGAGUCCUUGAGUUCGAGGCCCUUUCGUUAUGUCAUUAGGUAGAAUUUGGUAAAAAUAUAGGUAUAACAGGAGCCCCCAAAUUAUAGUAUUCACGAAUUUACAAGUGAAUGCUGUAAACUGAUAUAUUUUAUAAUAUGUUAGAUUUUCUUAUUGUCCCUUGUAUGAUAUAAAGACAUCUCAAGUGUUGUGAGGAAAUCUUGAACGACAUGAGUGAAUCUUAAAUAUGAUGAGGAAAAUCUCGAAUGACAUGAGAGAAAUGCGAAUGACACGAGGAAAUCACAAGUGUCAUGAUGACAUCUUGAAUGGCAUGAGGACAAUAUGAAUGACUAGAGGAGACUCGAAUGUCAUAAGGAUAGCUUGAAUAACUUGAGGAGUUCUCACAAUAUGGGUCAUAAAACAAUUUGAAUGGCAUGAGGAUAAUAUGAAUGACAUGAACAAAUCUCAAAUGUUAUUAGGAUAACUUGAAUGACAUGAGGAGAUUUUGAAUGUUAUGAUAUGGGUCAUAAAAUUAAAAUAAUACUGCAAUAUGGAGGUAUAAAUUAAAAUAAUAUUGCCAUAAGCACCAUUAGAUUAAGAUAAUGCCACGAUAAAGGGCCAUAAUUAAGAUAAAAAUAAUGCCGCAGUAAGGGCUUGCAAAUUAUGCUAGGACACAGGCCAUAAUUAAGAUAAAAAUGAUGUUGUGAUAAGGGUCAUAACUAAGAUAAAAAUGAUGCCGCGGUAAGGGCUUGCAAAAUGCGCUGCGAUGAGGGCCAUAAUUAAAAUAAAAAUGAUGCCGUAGUAAGUGCUUGCAAAUUAUGCUGCGAUAAAGGGCCAUAAUUAAAAUAAAAUGAUGCCGCGGCAAGGGCUUGUAAAUAAGGGUCAUAAUUAAGAUAAAAUGAUGCCGCGAUAAGGGCUUACAAAAUAUGUCCAGACAAGGGUAAAGACAAAAAUGAUGUCGCAGUAAAAGGCUAUUUAACAUCUCUGUGUUCCAAAUUUUCCUGACCUCAGGUCAAUUAGCACUCUGCAAUGUCAUGAGAUCGAGACUUAAGAGCAUGGGUUAGGGUACAUGUUAUAAGAUUGAGGCUUAUGAGCAUAAGGCCGAGUUAUGUGCGAUGAGAUUGAGACCCAGAGUAUGAGAUCAAGAUACAUACCAUAAAAUCGAGAUAAAAAAAAGUAUGAGAUAGAGAUACGUAUUACGAGAUCGAGGCACAAGAGUAUGAGGCCAAAAUUUGUAGAAUAAGAUCGAGGCCUCUAGCACACUUAACAGAGAUUCCAAGCAUUUAAUCUUUGUAGCCAUGUGUAUGGUUUUAAUCCAAUCUAGAUUAUUGCGUAUAAUCAAUAACAGAAUAAAUAUUAAAGUGAAAGAAAAUGGGCAAAAUAGUAAAUUUCACAUAGUGAGGGUUUACCUUCCUGGCCACCAGUGGCCGGAGAAUCAAGUGAAAGUGGUCGUGAUAUAGGCUUCAGCCUGCGAAGAGUCCAACGGUGGUGGUGGUGAGUCGUAUCGCGCUGUGGCGGCGGCAGAUCGAGAUCCUUAGCCGCGUGUGCUUCAGCGGCUGUCAGCGACCAAUUCGGUGACUUCUGGUUAGUGUUAAUGGCUGGAGUUUGAAAGGAGCAAAACCCAGGUGACGAUGAGUCGUAAUUCCGGCAGAUAUGCACUGGGUCUUGGCGGCGGUUUCGCGAAGAUUGUGGUUUCGUGCGGCGGUUUUCUGGACAUUUUCCGGCGGCGUCGAAGAAGGUAUUUUGUUAGCCGGAAUUGGGGGCUUCGAUAGUGGCCAAUCGGAAAUUGAAUCGGGGGGGUAGUGAUUGCCGCGAGUGGUGGCUUGCUUUGCGCUCGAGUUUGGGAAUUUGUACCCGACCCGUUUCCUCUGGUCCAUUGAUAUUAUUUAUUUAUUUUGUUUUGUUGCUUUUCCGACCAUAAUUGUUGAGAUAUCUAGGCUUUUUGUCUGAUCCCCAAAAAUGGCGCGAAUUGUUGGUACUUAAAUUUGAAUCAACAAUAAGAAUCAGGAAAUAAUUAUUUUGGGAAAUAGGUUGUGAGAGAACUUGAUAUCCUAAGAAUUGUUUUUGUUAAUUUAUUUAUUUUUAUUACUUUUCUACCAUUAUUGUUGGGUUCUUUAGGUUUUUUGUUUCAUCUCCAUAGACAAAGUCAAACUGUUGAUUUCUAAAAUUUGGACCGACAAUAAGAGUUUAGAAAGAGUUGUUUUAACCGGGGAAGAAGUUGUAAGAUAAAUUGAUGUCUUAGGAAUUGCUAUAAUUGAGAGUGAAGAGCUAAGUGAUCAUAAUCCUACAAAACAAUAAUCUAUAAGGAAUCGCCAAAGAUGUUAUUGGCGCAGAUCCUUCGAUACUUAAGUUAGAUAUUGAGGGUGUUAUCGGUAUAAACCAUUCGAUACUUAAGUUAGUGAUCUAAAGUAGCACAAUAACAAAUAAAUAAUUAGAGAGAGAAAAGAGAGCAUGAAAAAGGCUUGGCUCCUCCAAUA